rnacentral:rRNA from 1 species
CAGUAGCCGCGGUAAUACGAAGGGGGCUAGCGUUGCUCGGAAUGACUGGGCGUAAAGGGCGCGUAGGCGGAUUGUUUAGUUAGGCGUGAAAUUCCUGGGCUUAACCUGGGGACUGCGCUUAAUACAGGCAGUCUAGAGUGAGGAAGAGGGUUGUGGAAUUCCCAGUGUAGAGGUGAAAUUCGUAGAUAUUGGGAAGAACACCGGUGGCGAAGGCGGCGACCUGGUCCAUAACUGACGCUGAGGCGCGAAAGCGUGGGGAGCAAACAGGAUUAGAUACCCCCGUAGUCCCUGUCUCUUAUAA